AACUAAGUUUGUUCUUGGUAUGAGCUUUCGUGUGCAUGCAGACUUCUUCAGAUACCAACUGAUAUCUGAAGAAGUGUGCAUGCACACGAAAGCUCAUACCAAGAACAAACUUAGUUGG